rnacentral:rRNA from 1 species
CCUACGGGAGGCAGCAGUGAGGAAUAUUGGUCAAUGGACGAGAGUCUGAACCAGCCCAGUAGCGUGAAGGAUGACUGCCCUAUGGGUUGUAAACUUCUUUUAUAUGGGAAUAAAAUGUUCCACGUGUGGGAUUUUGUAUGUACCAUAUGAAUAAGGAUCGGCUCACUCCGUGCCCGCAGCCGCGGUAAUACGGAGGAUCCGAGCGUUACCCGGAUUUAUUGGGUUUAAAGGGAGCGUAGGUGGAUUGUUAAGUCAGUUGUGAAAGUUUGCGGCGCAACCGUAAAAUUGCAGUUGACACUGGCAGUCUGGAGUACAGUAGAGGUGGGCGGAAUUCGUGGUGUAGCGGUGAAAUGCUUAGAUAUCACGAAGAACUCCGAUUGCGAAGGCAGCUCACGGGACUGCAACUGACACUGAGGCUCGAAAGUGUGGGUAUCAAACAGGAUUAGAUACCCGGGUAGUC